AUUUAAGUAGUUUAUAUAAAAUAAUGAUUUGUGGUGUCAUAGAUGUAGCUUAUUACCUUAAGUU
rnacentral:tRNA from 1 species